CCUUGUCUGCUUAUCCUGCCUAUACUUCCUGCCUGGCUACUGGCCAAUCAGCAUUUUAUUAAACCAGUGUAAAAAAGCAUUAUGCCACAGCAACUAUUCUUUGUCUUCAGGCCACAAUGGGAGCCUGGAAAAGCUAGAUUCUGCUGUCUAUAAUGAAAAGUGUCUACAGAAGCCACAGGAGUGGCAACAAACCAAACAACAUGGCAGACUACCUCACAGGUUAGACUUGAAGGUAAUGAGUUUAAAGCCAAAGCUCUCUGUUCACUAACGUCCCCUCCGUUCCUUCUUCACACACACCAGACCAAUUUGCUCAUUUCACAGGAAACUCUCACCAAGGGGACAAGGAUUUGACAAGGAAUGAAAAGAAGCCAGCACUCAGCCAUUCUGGUCCGCAGGGCAUGUGUGGACAGCCACCUUUGAACUGCAACUCAUUGGGGGACUACAGUUAAGAGAUUGCAUGAGUCUCAGGAAGGACUUUACAGUUGAAGAAGGAGUGAAGAUGGCAUACAGAUAUUCCAGGCUAGCCUGAAGCUCAUGAUAUCCUGAUCUGAGCCACUGCACCCAGCUGCUUUCUUGGUCUGAAGAAAGAACAGCCAAAUCCAUAGCAAGACUAACUUUCAAACAAGUCAGUUUCCAAAGCAGAGGCUUCCUCAGGCCUGUGAUGCUCUUUCUGCUGUUGUGGCUUUUCCUUCUGGACUCCUGGUGCUGACAGCUCCUGUAGAUUGAUGCUUGUGGUUAAGGAAUAAAUCUCGAAGUCCUUGGAAUUACUGCUCAAUACUUUCCAUUUCCAAUGCCCUUUGGCAUGAAAAGAAAUGGAAUAGAAGACCACUAGUAGAGCACGCAGCUCUCCAAGAUGUCUAUGCAGUACUCCAUUUGGGAACACCCAAUGUGCUGGCACCCUUGCUGAAGGCCUCCAUACUUAGUGUUGCUGACUGUGGUGGUGCUGACAGUUUAGGUGAUGGGGUUAUCCUCUGAAAAACCUCCAGAUGGCCCUUGACAAUCCAGAACACAGGCCUGGGAACUUCGUCCUUUUUUCCAAGCAAGUUAUUUGCAUUUACUGUCUAGCUUUUGUGAAAUGCCAGGGAAUUGGCCUCUUCACUGUGCUGCCUGCUUCCCACUUCUGUUCUUGAGAUGACCUGAGGUGCUAUGCUUUCACACUGAAGCAGAGCACUCUCCCUUCACCCUGAGCUCUCUUUAACCAGGGAUCUCCCUCCUCUAGCAGCUCCUUCAGGCCAUACCACAACCCUGUUGCUGCACAUUGAAGGAUUGCCUGUCUAGUCUUCCACCUUCAGACUUUUGCUGAAGUUUGUGUUUGUGACUGUCUCUAUGCUUGUGUGUGUCCAUAUUUGCACUGUGUGUGUGUGUGUGUGUGUGUGUGUGUGUGUGUGUGGUGUGUGUGUGUGUGUGUGUAACUGUGUCUAUUGUCUGUGUGUUUUCUUCCUGGUUGCACAUUGCCUUAACAUUUAGAGCCAUCUUUAAACUGUUGCUUAUAAAUUUGGGGCAGUUGUCUAUUAGCUUUGAGCACAUACCCAAGCACUUUGACUAUUUGACUAAGUAUUUUCAACCUUGCUGCGGUCUUCACUCCUUCCUGCCCCACCUGCUACUCAUUGGCAUUUGAGCUGUUUUCCUCUGCAGUGACUUGGACUUUCUAAAGCUCUCAGUGUUAUUCAUGUCUCUUAGUGCUCUUGUCUCCAUUGUAAACUGGAGUUUGCACAAAUAAACACCUACCUUACCAGUGCCUCCUGCUCUACUUAAUGAAAACAAAGGCAGCAAAGAGAGCCAUCUGGUAGAGCCUCUCCACUGUGUGUGAGUACCCAGCAUGGCAUUCCUUGAUGUGGUUUGUGUAUUUGCCAGGCUGCUACUGUGUUCAUACAUUGAUUGUCCUUUUCUGAUGAGUGCCCUUGUUUCUUCAAGUAGCCUAGCUCCUUUCUAAUCUCCUCAGAGAUCCUAAUAGUCACAAUUAUUUAAACAAAUAAACACAAAUCAAAAACAAUUUCCAAACAGAAACUGAAUUCUGCAGUGCAUGUCUUUCCCAGCUAUGGCUUCAUCUCUCUUAAGCCAGUGAAUCAGCAUCACCCAAAACCACCUACAAAUGCCAUGGUGCUGACAUACUGUUCCAUUCCUUCAAUACGGAUUUUACCAUCAUUUUGCCAUGACAUAAUUCUAUGGGUUACACCAAUAAUUUCAUACUGAUAAAUCAUGUCAGUAUUAAUAAGUACAUGUCACAUUUAAGACACUGCAGAAUUUUGCAGAGUUAAUAUAGUUCUAUUAAAACUUUUUCUGCUGCUUUUUUUGACAUGCCAUCUUCUUGGCUUUUCUUUCCAUCUAUGGCUUCUUCCUUGAAAUUGUUUAUAGCUUGAUAUUUGUAUAUCUCCUCAAUUCUCAACCCAAAUCUCUCCUCUUAUUUCAUAUUCUCUUCCUCAGAUAUCCUCAGCCACACCCAGGGGUCUACAUAAACUAUGCUUAUCUCUGUCUCAUUUCUCCCCGAGUUAGGCCUGGAACUUUGAAUUUCCAAUUUCUUUCCUACAGAGAUGUAGAAAAAUUCCUUAAAUGUGGGCAGAUAUUGUUAAUGUUCACACCAUAGAUUAUCUAACUAGUAACUGUUUCUUUCUAAUACUGUUACAACUUUUUUACUCCUUUGUUUUUUUUUGGGGGGGGGAUAUAAAUCCCAAUAUCUACACAAAACUUAAUGUAAGAGCAGAUCAACAAAGAUGCAUGGUAAAGGAAUGAAUGAGUAGAUGAUAAAUUCCCCUUCCUGCACCAAACAUCUUUACAACCACAUUCCACAGAGAGGGGCAAGCUGAUUGAGAAUUGCACCACUUUGAUUGAAUCAUAGUUGAAAGAAAAUAAAAAUAGAAUAAAUCUGCAAUUUAGAAUAACACAUUUAUAUUCAAUUCUACUCUGUUCUUGAUUCUUUUCAGACUGUUUGAUCUGGCAUUUGAACAAGCCAGGGCAAUUCGUUUCUGUGUAGAUUAAGAAAUAUGGCACAUUGUCGUUCAGCUCAUUCAUUAGAUCCUUUGAUCACAGUUGGCUACUCUAGUUUCAGGGAAAGAUCAUGAAGAUAGUGAGCAGCAAGGAAGAGAUGGCAGAAGGCUGAUGUUUGUUCACUGCACUGAGCACCACUGCAGGAGCGUGACUCUGAGACACUACCAGAACUAUGUCCAGAGAAGGCUUGUCUGACUUUCAGCUAAGCAGUUGGAAAUCACACUAAUAAGAGGAAGAGUCCAUCUCUUGUGACAACAAAUGGGGAAAGAAAGAAGCAUGGAGGCAGAAACUGGAAACACACUUCUGUUAUGGACAUCCAGUAUGCACAGAGGGAAUUUCCUUAAGCAGGAAGAUAAACAACUCAAAAUAGCUUCAGGAAGUCCCUAAAGCUGAGCAGAUUUACAAGGCCCACGCCCUGAUAGAGGAAGCAUUGAAAUCUGCAAGUCCCUCUCAGAUAGGGUGAAACCAAGCUGCAAAGAAGACUCUCAGACCAAACCAGCCGACUAAGAGAGACAGAAACCAGCUGAGCUGCUUGGAAGAGGCUCAGAUCAGACUCUCAAACAGGACACUCUGCAAAUGGUUGAGCACCCUGCAGGCUAUGCACUGCACUCCAAGUUCCGUUUCCCAGGUGCAGCAAUUAAUAAGCACCCUGCCAAGACUCCACAUCAGUGUCUGCCAUAGCAAAAAAAAUAGCAGAAAAGGAGGCCUGGGAAGCCAGUUGGUAGGUGCAUCACGGAGAGACCAGCCGAAGUUACAAUCCGAGAAGCAUGUGGGGUCCCAAAGAAAGAAGCACAGAUAGAUCCCUGGGAGGAGCAGUAACGAUUCAACACUGCAGUGCAUAAGCAAAACACCUAGACUCUAAGUACAGCGAGUCUGUUGAAGAGCUCAGACAGGCCACAGUGGAUCUUUCCCUGCUGGAGUUGAGUUGGUGCUUAUUUCCUUAUGGUGGACCAACUAGUCUGCAUGUAUGGUGGUGUGAACAAGCCUCCCAGAGGCUCAUGUAUUUGAACACUUGGUUCUAAGUGAGUGGAGCUGUUUGGGGAGGUUAUGCAAUGUUUAAGGGGUGGAGCUUUUCUGAAGAAAGUAUGUCCCUGGGGUCUGCAUUGCGAGUUCAUCGUUAACCCACUACCAGUUCACUCUGUCUCAUCACCGUGUUGAGGAUCGAUCUCUCAGCUCCCUGCUCCUGUUGUUUCUGUACUUGAUUCUUGCUGCUGUGAUUGGCUCCUACCCCACUGAAACUGUAGGCCUAAAUAAACUCUUUAUUUGAUGGGUUGCUUUGGUCAUGACAUUUUAUUACAGCCACAGAGAAGUAACUGAUAAAUCUUAUGAGCUUCCCACACAACAACACUCCAAGGACCCGGUAGAGGAGUGAUUCUGGCCCACCAACCUUCUUUGAUACUUUUCUUCUAGUAAAUAGGGCAAGGAAAAAACACUGUGUUUCAGGGUGCUGUGAUUGUUAAAUGGGUGACUGGAUGAAAUGCUUACUAUGCUGCAUAGCCUGAGGCAAAUACUUAGGGAUAUGCUGAAGUCAUUACCAGUGUGGAGGUAGAGCAUGCUUACAUAGGAAGUGGACAUGAAGGGAUUAGUACAAAGCGCAGCCUUGCUCUCUUUAAAACUCCAAGUGAUCUUGUAAAAUAAACAUCUAGGUAAAACAAGACAGUAUUACUUGACUACUCUUAAAACCGUCCUUCUCUGUGAAAAAUUGAAAAAGAAAUGAUGCUUUGCAGUCUAAGUUUUGUAACAUUAUGCUCAGAAAAGGCUACAAUCACAUGGUAGUGGGUUACUUAAUUUCUUAUUUAUAAAUUGAAAUUAUUUGAACAUAAAGUAAAAUUUAUACUCACAGCCAUAUAUUCAAACAUCAGUCAGAAACUGAAUGAGUGUGGGCCAUGUCUGAAGCAAUUUAGUAUAAUUCAUAGAAGGUCUUAUAGAUCCUCAUACCUAAUAGUUUGGUGUUAUUUAAUCAAUUGACAUAAACUAUUAAUAUAUUCAAUACCUUAAUAAAUGCUUGAUUUAUGACUUAGUAACAUGUUUUGAAAAUGACCACAAGAGGUGACCAGCAUCUACGUCAUGACACUUAUGAAAUAAACACUCCCCAAAACAUUCCAAACUCCUUCCUCAACGAUAGGCCAAUCCUAGAGGUGGUCAUUUUUCUGAUUUCCUCUCAUGUUUGAGGUUCUGAUCAGCAUGUCUAUGAGGGUGUUUUUGUUUGGUUGGUUUUUUGUUUUUUGUUUUUUGUCUUUUUUUUUGUGUGUGUUGUGUAGUAGUUCAUUAGGGGAAAGUGUAAUGUAUUUAGCUACAAAUGCUUCCUGUUCCUGGAUACUAGAAAACACACUGGAUACACACACUUGUUCUUUCUACACUGUAUUUAACAGCUUGUCUUAAGAAUGUGGUCCAACAUGAACCAUGUGGUAUGGUGCAUUUGGUUACAGAGGCACUUCCCACCACUUAAAAUACCAGGCAGCAGUUUUCAUCUGUGUCUGGGUGUGUGUAUAAGUGAGUGUUAUUAAGUUGUAUCUGUUUUGGUUGUAGGCUUUGUUAGAGUCACUUACUGUUGUUUUCAUUUGGAUUUUUCUGGUGAUUAUUACAUUAACUACCACUUUAUAAUGUUUACCAGCCACUGCAUUUCUUCUCUUGUAAAAUCCCUGCCCAGGUUUUCCCUUUCCAUUCGGGAAAGCUUCCUGUUUCUUACUACUUUGUUUUAUUUAUUGAAUAUGAAUUGCAAUAUGAAUACUCUCUGGAUAAAUAUUG